rnacentral:misc_RNA from 1 species
CAAGGACGUCGUGGAAGGCGAAGUGCUUUUGGAAUUGAUGAUGGAGAAGAUGAAGGUGCAACAACUUAUGUGAGAUCUACACCCAUACGUGACAUGAAGAUUGAACAUAUCUUUUCCAGGGUACAACAUUUGCAACAACUUCUUGAACGCUUUUUGGCCUGCCGCCCAACAGGUGGAGCAAAACAUACAAGAGUUGUGAUGGUUGCUCUCUACCCAGUAGUAAAAGAAAG